rnacentral:rRNA from 1 species
UGACCUCGAUCAGGAAGGGAAUACCCGCUGACUAAGCAUAUCACAAUAAGCG